CAUGCUUUGUGACCUCAUGGGAAGGUUCUUACAGCCAGUUAUAUGAAAAACAAAACAAAACAAAACACCUCUGAAGGAUGGUUUACACAAGAAAACAGAACUCAGCCAGUCGGAAUGACACAAUAUACCAUAACAACUCCGCUCAGCUGGGGUCCUAGAAGACACAGCGAGACCUGCCUAGUGGGCAGCAGCUUGAGCUACUUUUAGUUUCACUUGGCUGGUAAUGGAAAUAACAAGAUACUUGGAAACACAUCUUCCUUGACUUGUAAUGGGGUUACAUCCUGAUAAACCCACUGUAAAUUGAAAAUACUGUAAGUUGAAGAUGUUUUUAGUAUACCUUACCUAUCAAACAUCAUAAUUUAACCUAGCCUAUCUUAAAUAUGCUCAGAACCCUUAUACAAGCCUACAGCUGGAAAAAAAAUCAUCUAACACAAAGUAUAUUUUAUAAUAGAGUGUUGGAUAUCUCAGAUAAUGUGCUGAGUAGUGUGGUGAAACUGAAAGACAAAAUGGUUGUAUGGACACAGAAUGGCUAUAAAAGUGUCCAUUGCUCAUCCUCAUUUGACCGACCAGCAUUGCUGGAGAGUAUCAGAUUGCAAUCACUAGCCUGGGAAAAGAUCAAAAUUCAAAAUCUGAAGCAGAGCUUUUACUGGAUGUGUAUCACUUUUGCACCAUCAUGAAGUUGAAAAAUCAUAAGUCAAACCAUCAUAAGUCUGUAUAUACCAAUUUAUUAAUGGAAUUUACUUCAUGAGUUUACUGAGUAAUAAUGAAUAUGGAAGGAACAUAAUUGGAGCAUAGGUAAUAGGGAAGUCAGAGGAGGAAGAAAAUGGGAAUCAACAGAAGAGAACCUUUUAGGUAAGUAUUGAAUGAGAAGAAAUUUGUAUCCCAUAUAUACCCUGUCUCAUCAAAGGGCAUGAUGAGAGUGCCAAGACUCAAUAAUCAAGUCGAUAUGAUGACAUGACCUAUAGAUGUUAAUCAGUCUCUCUCAACAGCCACCCCAGUGUUUGCUCAGUGAUUAAAGGACAGUGUCCAAGGCCAUUCAGAUAGAAGUACAAAAGUUAAGCCACAUGGACGUGCUUUCUCUAAGGGUGAUCUGGCGAGUGAACAGUAUGGCUGAAUAUGCAAUCUGCCAAGACUUGAGAUGAACGCUGAGUCCCUAGUGUGGCACCAUUUCCCAGCACCAGCCACUCACCUGGUGACAAACUGACAGGGUGGAAGGAACUAAUGGAGGAUGACAGCCACCAAAUGAAGGUGGGGACUGCAUAAUUCUUUACCUGGCACUCCACCAGAUAAAAAGCCAGAAGAGCAGCUAAGGGACAAGGGGACAAAGAACAGCUACCAGAUAAAGGAAGUAACUAAUAUCAACUGUUGACUCACAUCCAGGUGCAGAAAUCACCGUAGUGCCCAGGAGACCUCCUGGGCUUCAACAAGAGAUGCUCUGCAGCUCCACCGCAUCCUCUGGAAGUUGUUCGUCUGUGUAGCGCUGACCUGAGAUCAUCGCUGGAAGUUGCCUGGGAUCCUGGAAGUUCCUAAUGCCCUUAUGGCUGGGGACGCAAUAGUGACUAAUAAUGAAUGCUUUCUAUGGUCGCUAAUUCUCCAGCCCUUCCGAUGUAUUUUUAAGCCACUAGUUCACUGUAUUAAAUGUCUUCCUGCUUGCAAUACCAGGCUGGUUUCUUCAUUUUUAUGACUGAAUUCUGACUGAUACCACGUAAUUGCUUGAAUCAAUUUAAAAAUUUUGAGAUUUGGCAAUACUGCUUAUUUUAGCCUCUAUUUUGAAAUGAAAAUUUUAUAGAUCAACUCUUACCACACUAAACAAAAUCCUUAAAUAGGCUUUGCAGGGUAAGAAAUGAGAGAACAUUAUUGAUUCUUG
ensembl:lncRNA